ACUCAAAGGAAUUGACGGGGACCCACACAAGCGGUGGAGCAUGGGGUUUAAUUCGAUGACAAGCGAAGCACCUCACCCAGACUUGACAUGUUAGGAACCCUGCAGAAAUGCGGGGGUGCCGCAAGGAACCUAAACACAGGCGUUGCACGGUCGUCGUCAGCUCGUGCCUUGAGGUGUACUGUUCAGUCAGCCAACGAGCGCAACCCUCAUCCUAUGUUGCUUUUUCAUAGGAGACUGCCGCCUCCAAGGCGGAGGAAGGUGAGGAUGACGUCAGAUCAGCGUGACCUUUAUGUCUGGGGCAACACCCGUGCUACAAUGGCCGGUACAAACGGCAGCAAGCCCGCAAGGGGAAGCUAAUCCGAGAAAACCGGUCUCAGUUCGGAUUGAAGUCUGCAACUCGACUUCAUGAAGUUGGAAUCGCUAGUAACCGUGAAUCAGCUACGUCACGGUGAAUAUGUUCCUGGGUCUUGUACACACCGCCCGU
rnacentral:rRNA from 1 species